UUUGGAGUUUUCAGUUUUUCAGAUUUGAUUGUUCCUUUCAUGUUGGCUAUCGCUAAUUGUAGUCAUACGACUGAGUUGGGUUAGUCAAUGUCAGUGGUCUAGAACUUCCUAAAUUUUCUAAAAUCAAUUUAGAAAAUUAUAUCAAUUAUGUACUCCAAAACCAUGAAGUACAGUUGGAAACAUAACUGUGAAUUUUUGGCACUUUAUGUUUUAUUCUUGUUGAUUGCAGGCUUUAGUGAUGCAAGGUAAACAUGCAGAAGCAGUAGUGGAACUGUCAAAGAUAUGCCUUGUUUGGCGGAUUUUCCCUCCCGAGGAGUCUUCGGUAUGUGCUCUAUAAUUCAUCAAACAACUUUACCCAACAAAGCAACAAUUUUUGACUCAUAGCACUAAUAGCCGCUAUUCAUGUUCCUAUAUUAUCUGAGAGCUAUUUUUCUUAGGGCAUUU
rnacentral:lncRNA from 1 species